rnacentral:lncRNA from 1 species
CUUAUCCUCAGGAAGCCCUGAACGCUGAGAGGCACUGUUACAGAACCGAACUGGGGUCCAAGCGCUAGGCCUACCUAGGUGCCUGGAAUUUCCCUUCGAGGAACGCAGGAGUUUUCUUUAUUUUCAUGCUUGGGAAGGCUCAUUAGGCCCCUAAGAGGGGGUCCCUUCCCCAUCUCAGGACUAAAAUGCAAUGAAGAUGUUGCUCAGAGGCAGCUGGAGAGGGAUGGGUCUGUGGAGGAUGCCCCGCAGAGUGAAGCCGAGAUGAUGCAGCCACCAGGGCCGGAGGGGAGGGACAUUUCACUUUUUAAAUCAGCUUUCUAAAGUAUGAUCUCCAUAUAAUCACCUAGAAGCGUACAGCACAAUGGUCUUGACAGAUGCCAGCAUCCUUGGAACCACUGCCACCACCAACGUCUCAAACCAUUCCAUCAAACCCAGAACACUCCUGGUGCCCUGAAGCGUCUCCCUUCAAUGGCAGAACCAGCAGAGAUUCAGUGGUCACAAGGUGAGUGAGGCGGCCUGGGUCUGGCUCCUGGCCAUUAAUUUUAAAUAAUUUGCAUUUAACUUUGAACCACC